rnacentral:rRNA from 1 species
GAUGAACGCUGGCGGCGUGCCUAAUACAUGCAAGUCGAGCGAACAGACGAGGAGCUUGCUCCUCUGACGUUAGCGGCGGACGGGUGAGUAACACGUGGAUAACCUACCUAUAAGACUGGGAUAACUUCGGGAAACCGGAGCUAAUACCGGAUAAUAUAUUGAACCGCAUGGUUCAAUAGUGAAAGACGGUUUUGCUGUCACUUAUAGAUGGAUCCGCGCCGCAUUAGCUAGUUGGUAAGGUAACGGCUUACCAAGGCAACGAUGCGUCGCCGACCUGAGAGGGUGAUCGGCCACACUGGAACUGAGACACGGUCCAGACUCCUACGGGAGGCAGCAGUAGGGAAUCUUCCGCAAUGGGCGAAAGCCUGACGGAGCAACGCCGCGUGAGUGAUGAAGGUCUUCGGAUCGUAAAACUCUGUUAUUAGGGAAGAACAAAUGUGUAAGUAACUAUGCACGUCUUGACGGUACCUAAUCAGAAAGCCACGGCUAACUACGUG